rnacentral:rRNA from 1 species
CCUACGGGGUGCUGCAGUGGGGAAUAUUGGACAAUGGGCGAAAGCCUGAUCCAGCCAUGCCGCGUGUGUGAAGAAGGCCUUCGGGUUGUAAAGCACUUUCAGUGGGGAAGAAAGCCUUGGGGCUAAUACCCUCGAGGAAGGACAUCACCCACAGAAGAAGCACCGGCUAACUCCGUGCCAGCAGCCGCGGUAAUACGGAGGGUGCGAGCGUUAAUCGGAAUUACUGGGCGUAAAGCGCGCGUAGGCGGUCUGAUAAGCCGGUUGUGAAAGCCCCGGGCUCAACCUGGGAACGGCAUCCGGAACUGUCAGGCUAGAGUGCAGGAGAGGAAGGUAGAAUUCCCGGUGUAGCGGUGAAAUGCGUAGAGAUCGGGAGGAAUACCAGUGGCGAAGGCGGCCUUCUGGACUGACACUGACGCUGAGGUGCGAAAGCGUGGGUAGCAAACAGGAUUAGUACCCCUGUAGUC